GACGAACGCUGGCGGCGCGCUUAACACAUGCAAGUCGAGCGAAUCGGCGGACGGGUGAGUAACACGUGAGUAACCUGCCUUUGACACAGGGAUAGCCUCUGGAAACCGGGAUUAAUACCAGAUAGUCAAAGAUUGACUCGGGUCCCAUUAGCUAGUUGGUAAGUAACAGCCUACCAAGGCAACGAUGGGUAGCCGGCAUGAGAGGGGGAACGGCGACAUUGGAAGUGAGAAACGGUCCAAACUCUACGGGAUGCAGCAGUGGGGAAUACUGCACAAUGGGGGAAACCCUGAUGCAGCGACGCCGGGUGAGCGAAGAAGGUGUUCGAAUCGUAAGGCUAGGUCCUAUGGGAAGCGGUACCAUAGGAGGAAGCCCCGGCUAACUACGUGCCAGCAGCCGCGGUAAUUC
rnacentral:rRNA from 1 species